rnacentral:rRNA from 1 species
AGAGUUUGAUCCUGGCUCAGGAUGAACGCUGGCGGCGUGCUUAACACAUGCAAGUCGAACGAUGAAGCCCAGCUUGCUGGGUGGAUUAGUGGCGAACGGGUGAGUAACACGUGAGUAACCUGCCCUUGACUCUGGGAUAAGCCUGGGAAACUGGGUCUAAUACCGGAUAGGAACGUCCACCGCAUGGUGGUUGUUGGAAAGAUUUAUCGGUCAUGGAUGGACUCGCGGCCUAUCAGCUUGUUGGUGAGGUAAUGGCUCACCAAGGCGACGACGGGUAGCCGGCCUGAGAGGGUGACCGGCCACACUGGGACUGAGACACGGCCCAGACUCCUACGGGAGGCAGCAGUGGGGAAUAUUGCACAAUGGGCGAAAGCCUGAUGCACCGACCCGCGUGAGGGAUGACGGCCUUAGGGUUGUAAACCUCUUUCAUAGGGAGAAGCGAAGUGACGUCCUGCAGAAGAAGCACCGGUUAACUACGUGCCAGCAGCCGCGGUAAUACGUAGGGUGCGAGCGUUAUCCGAUUAUUGGCGUAAAGAGCUCUAGGCGGUUUGUCCGCUCUGUCUGAAAUCCGGGCUUACCCCGAUCUCGCGGUGGACGGCAACAUAAGUCCUAGGGAACUGGAUUCCUGGGUACCGGGAAUGCCCAUUUCGGGGAACCCUUGGGACGGGGUUCUGGGUUUAAAGCCCUAAAUUCCACCGGUAAACUGGGACCUAGGGUGGGGGCACAUACCAGGUUUCGCCCCAAGUAAAGCCAUUAAUGCCCCCCUGGGAGUACGGCCGCCAAGCUAAAAUUCAAGAAUGACGGGGGCCCCGCAACGGCGGACCAUGCGGUUAAUUCGAUGCAACGGGAGAACCUUCCAAGGCUUGCAUGUUUCGAUCCCGUAGGAUACGGUUUCCCUUUGGGCGGGAUACCAGGUGGGUGCAUGGUUGUUGUCAACUCGGUCGUGAGAUGUUGGGUAAGUCCCGCAACGAGCGCAACCCUCGUUCCAUGUUGCCAGCACGUCAUGGUGGGGACUCAUGGGAGACUGCCGGGUCAACUCGGAGGAAGGUGGGGACGACGUCAAAUCAUCAUGCCCCUUAUGUNUUGGGCUUCACGCAUGCUACAAUGGCCGGUACAAUGGGUUGCGAUACUGUGAGGUGGAGCUAAUCCCAAAAAGCCGGUCUCAGUUCGGAUUGGGGUCUGCAACUCGACCCCAUGAAGUCGGAGUCGCUAGUAAUCGCAGAUCAGCAACGCUGCGGUGAAUACGUUCCCGGGCAUUGUACACACCGCCCGUCAAGUCACGAAAGUCGGUAACACCCGAAGCCGGUGGCCUAACCCUUGUGGGGGGAGCCGUCGAAGGUGGGACCAGCGAUUGGGACUAAGUCGUAACAAGGUAGCCGU